GUGCUCACUUUGGGAGCUCAUAUACUAAAAUUGGAAAGAUACAAAGAAGAUUAGCAUGGCUCCUGUGUAAGGGUGAUACCGAAAUUCAUGAAGCAUUCCAUAUUUUU
ensembl:snRNA U6 U6 spliceosomal RNA